UUCACAUCCCGAACACGGUAGUUAAGCUUCUCUGCGCCAAUGGUAGUUGGGGGCUUCCCCCUGCGAGAGUAGGUCGCUGCCGGGC
rnacentral:rRNA from 1 species